UGAGGAAUAUUGGUCAAUGGGCGAGAGCCUGAACCAGCCAAGUAGCGUGCAGGAUGACGGCCCUAUGGGUUGUAAACUGCUUUUAUGUGGGGAUAAAGUGCGUGACGUGUCAUGCAUUGCAGGUACCACAUGAAUAAGGACCGGCUAAUUCCGUUCCAGCAGCCGCGGUAAUACGGAAGGUCCGGGCGUUAUCCGGAUUUAUUGGGUUUAAAGGGAGCGUAGGCUGUCUAUUAAGCGUGUUGUGAAAUUUACCGGCUCAACCGGUGGCUUGCAGCGCGAACUGGUCGACUUGAGUAUGCAGGAAGUAGGCGGAAUUCAUGGUGUAGCGGUGAAAUGCUUAGAUAUCAUGACGAACUCCGAUUGCGCAGGCAGCUUACUGUAGCAUAACUGACGCUGAUGCUCGAAAGUGCGGGUAUCAAACAGG
rnacentral:rRNA from 1 species